GUGGGGUUGAGCAUGAUUAAUUUGAAACAGUAGUUAAAACAGAGAGCUUGUAAUCCUCUUAUUAAUUAUUUAAACCUGUAUGAGUAUCUGCUGUGUCUUACUAAUUGUCCUUGAAAUUCCAGAUUGAUUCAGGUCUUUUUUACUGUAGGAUUAACCAAUUAUCAUUUAUCAGGACUAAUUUGUGUGUGUGUGUGUGUGUGUGUGUGUGUGUGUGUGUGUGUUAUGAGUUUGAUUGAGGUCUUUUUGCUAUAGGACCUACAGGUCUUACCAACAUUGAACCUGUUGAAUGACAGGGAUUUCACGGAGCUAAAGAGACUGGGUGCAUGCCAGGUGGCUGGUAGUGAUCCCGGUGUUGGGGCUGGGGCAGUUUCCCCUUUAGCAGGCUCUUCCUGGCUUCUCUGGAGGAAUCACUGAAGGAGGCUUGGACUGUGGCACAGAUCGCAGAUGUGAUCUUCUUAUGCUUGGCUUUCUUGGGGGUUCUCAGCCGCAUUUCUCAACAUUUGUCUCAGGCUUGGAUUCACCACAGAAAACUUCAGAGACACCUUCUAAACCUGAUAGGCCCCCAUGGGAAGUCAAUUCCAGGUGUUGCCACCUCUGCUGCACACUGGGCUUACCUCUUUGUGAUUGUUCCCUCCAUGUCCAGAUGAUAGUGCUGAGAAUCAGGAGUCCCUGGGCUUGAAGAUCAAGGCAGGACCCCUUGGUGGGUGGCCCUGGUCGAAAAGUGGCAGUAAGCUAAUGUGGCCAGGAAACGUACUGCUGAAACCUGGAGUGUGGGCUUCCAGGUCUGAAACGCCCUCCUCCUCCUCCGACCAGAACCGAAGAGUGGGCUCAAGGAGGUACUGAGGUAAGGACUGUCAAUGUCCUACACUGCUUCUGGCAUGCAGCCUUCUUCUAAGCGGCGCCCCUGCCACCGACUCUACUUUGCACCUGUGCGGCAGCAGCUGGACAGCGCCAAUAUUGCGGCUCCCCAGCUGGGCACGCAAAAGCGCAUGUGCAAUUCGGCUGUCCCAAGCGCCAGCGCUGAGCCGGGGCUCACGUCACAGUGACAGUCACCGUUGCCUGGGGAACGAUGUCAGCGGCUUACCAAAGCAGUGGCCUUCUGUGGUAGUGGUGCCUCAGCGUUGGUCACGGAUCCUUUCUCACGGGAUCAUCGCCGAGUCCUGCGAUUUAAGAAAUCAGGCAGUCCAAACCAGGCAGAAAAAGAUCUGGCGGGGAGUCAAGGAUGUCCACGGCGAUUCCCAAGUAUCCCCACGAUGCUUCAGAGUUCCUAGAGAGAAAAGACAAAUCAGUCUGUGUUGCAAAAGAAGCCCAAGGCUAAAGAUUGAAGAACUGAAAAUGCAACUUUGCAAGGGACUUGUAAAAGGAGAGAAGCCUUGUUUUUCUCCUCUGAUUCUCUGAAGAAAAUAUACACAUAUAUUUAAUGUUUAAUAAAUGAUAAAAAUAAAUUUUCUCUGUUCAACAUUCUUGCUUAAGUUAGCUCCUUGAAAAUUUAGCUAUUUCUAAUAAUAGAGUAUAGGACCACUGUAUUUUGUUACAUUUAUGCAAGAGGAAUUAACAUUAACAAAUUCAGUAUGCUUUAUAGUACUUUACCUGUAAAUCACCAUAUAACUGAUAAAACAAUAAAUUCUGGAAAAUUAUUUCACAGGAUUAUCUCAAUAUUUCUGAGUUGUCCCUAAUUAUGAUUUACUCAGAGCUUUUCAGGUUUCAUAACUUACCACAAAAUGACUUCUACAGAUGAACUGCUCAACAUGUGAUCAACUACACACAACGUUUGCCCAGAUGUAUGCAUGUGCAUUCAUGUUUAUGUAAACAAGUAAUUUCUAAGCAACUGAAUAGAGCAGAAGGAAAAGUUCUCAUAUAUCCGAAAACCUAGAGAAUGUAAA